rnacentral:rRNA from 1 species
AUUGAACGCUGGCGGAAUGCUUUACACAUGCAAGUCGAACGGCAGCACGGACUUCGGUCUGGUGGCGAGUGGCGAACGGGUGAGUAAUGUAUCGGAACGUGCCCAGUCGUGGGGGAUAACGUAGUGAAAAUUACGCUAAUACCGCAUACGAUCUAUGGAUGAAAGCGGGGGAUCGCAAAACCUCGCGCGACUGGAGCGGCCGAUAUGAGAUUAGGUAGUUGGUGGGGUAAAGGCCCACCAAGCCAACGAUCUGUAGCUGGUCUGAGAGGACGAACAGCCACACUGGAACUGAGACACGGUCCAGACUCAUACGGGAGGCAGCAGUGGGGAAUUUUGGACAAUGGGCGAAAGCCUGAUCCAGCCAUUCCGCGUGCAGGAUGGAGGCCCUCGGGUUGUAAACUGCUUUUGUACAGAACGAAAAGGUUUCUACUAAUACUAGGAGCUCAUGACGGUACUGUAAGAAUAAGCACCGGCUAACUACGUGCCAGCCGCCGCAGUAA